AUCCUGUGGUACCUGCUUUCCCAGAUCUUCACCUGUCUCCUGCUGCGAUUUUAAAAGAGUUAUCGACAUACUUCCCUAAAUUUUCUGCACAAACUCGGCUUCUCACUCUUCCAGCACCUCAUGAGCUGCCACUGCGUGAGGCACAAGAUUAUCAGAGGCAAUAUCUGAUUGUCAACCAUAUUGGGGCGAUCCGUGCUGAGCAUGAUGACUUCACUGUUCGUUUUGCUUCAGCCAUGAGUCAGCUUGUCUUGCUAAAAUCAAUUGACGGUGUGGAUGUAGAGUGGGUUAAGGAAGUCAAAGGAAAUACUUAUGACAUGGUUGUUGAAGGUUUUCAACUCUUAAGCAGAUGGACUGCACGAGUUUGGGAACAGUGUGCUUGGAAGUUUUCUCGCCCGUGCAAGGAUCCUGUUCCAAUGGAGUCACAUGACAUGCCUGCAUCAUUUUCCGACUAUGAAAAGGUGGUACGGUACAAUUAUAAUGCUGAAGAAAGGAAGGCUCUGGUUGAACUUGUAAGCUAUAUCAAGAGUAUUGGGUCAAUGAUGCAAAAGGUGGACACUUCAGUGACCGAUGCCUUGUGGGAGACAAUCCAUGCAGAGGUGCAAGAUUUUGUUCAGAAUACGCUUGCGACAAUGUUGCGGACUACCUUCCGGAAAAAGAAAGACCUUUCUAGGAUUCUUUCUGAUAUGAGAACACUUUCAGCAGAUUGGAUGGCAAAUGCUAGUAAGCCAGAGACUGAAAUGCAGUCAUAUCCGCAUAGUGGUGAAGAAAGCAGAGGGACCCUAUUUUAUCCAAGGCCAGUAGCACCAACAUCUGCUCAGGUCCAUUGCUUGCAGUUCCUCAUAUAUGAAGUGGUUUCCGGUGGCAACAUGCGGAAGCCUGGUGGUAUUUUUGGAAAUAGUGGUUCUGAAAUACCUAUCAAUGACUUGAAACAGCUGGAGACAUUCUUCUACAAGCUUGGUUUUUUCUUACAUGUAUUAGACUACACAGCUACCCUAGGAACUUUGACCGAUCUUGGUUUCUUAUGGUUUAGAGAAUUCUAUCUGGAGUCUUCUCGUGUUAUACAGUUCCCCAUUGAAUGCUCCCUUCCAUGGAUGCUGGUGGAUCAUGUGAUCGAAUCUCCAAUUAUUGGCCUUCUGGAGAGUGCCUUGAUGUCAUUUGACAUCUAUAAUGAUGCUGCUCAGCAAGCAUUAGUGAUCCUCAAGCAACGUUUUUUAUACGAUGAAAUCGAAGCUGAGGUAGACAAUUGUUUUGAUAUAUUUGUCUUGAAGUUGUGUGAGACUAUUUUUACUUACUACAAAAGUUGGGCAGCCAGUGAGCUACUUGAUCCAUCAUUUCUCUUUGCCAUAGACAUUGGGGAAAAGUUUGCAGUCCAGCCAAUGAGAUUCGUAGCUCUUUUAAAAACGACUAGAGUGAAGCUUCUAGGUCGGACCAUCAACUUGAGAAGUUUGAUUGCUGAUAGGAUGAACAAAAUGUUCAGGGAUAAUCUUGAAUUUCUGUUUGAUCGCUUUGAAUCACAGGAUUUAUGUGCUAUUGUGGAGCUGGAAAUGUUGCUGGACAUCUUGCAACUUACUCAUGAAUUACUCUCGAAAGACCUUACAAUAGAUUCUUUCAAUCUUAUGUUGAACGAGAUGCAGGAGAAUGUAUCCCUUGUUUCUUAUUCUAGUCGUCUUGCUUCGCAGAUUUGGACAGAAAUGCAAAAUGACUUCUUGCCAAAUUUCAUCCUCUGCAAUACUACUCAGCGUUUUGUCCGAUCAGCACGAGUGCCCCCUGUUCCUGUCCAGAAGCCUUCGGUUCCUUAUGCGAAGCCAAAUUUCUACUGUGGAACUCCUGAUCUGAAUUCUGCUUACCAGAGCUUUGCUCGAUUGUAUUGUGGGUUUUUUGGUGUGCCUCACAUGUUUUCUCUAGUCAAGCUCUUGGGAUCUAGGUCACUUCCUUGGCUUAUCCGAGCCCUUUUGGAUAAUAUAUCGAACAAGAUUACUACCGUUGAACCGAUGAUUACUGGACUGCAAGAAGCUUUGCCGAAGUCUAUAGGGUUACUUCCAUUUGAUGGUGGUAUAUCAGGGUGCAUGAGGCUUGCCAAGGAGCAUCUUAGCUGCUGGCAUUCAAAGUCUGAACUCAAAGCUGAAGUCCUUUGUGGAAUCAAGGAGAUUGGUAGCAUAUUGUACUGGAUGGGACUUCUUGAUAUUGUAUUGAGAGAAGUCGAUACCCGCCAGUUUAUGCAAACUGCUCCUUGGUUGGGAUUGAUUCCUGGUGCUGAUGGGCAAAUAUUGCACUCUCAAGAAGGAGGAGAUAGCCCUAUGGUCACUCUGUUUAAAUCUGCAACUACUGCAACCAUGUCCAACCCUAACUGCACAAAUCCAACAUCAUUUCACACAAUAUCGAGACAAGCAGAAGCUGCCGAUUUGUUGUACAAAGCCAAUAUUAAUACUGGAAGUGUGUUGGAAUAUGCCCUUGCUUUUACAAGUGCUGCAUUAGAUAAAUACUGCAGUAAAUGGAGUGCAGCCCCAAAGACGGGUUUUAUUGAUAUUACUACUUCAAAGGACUUCUACCGGAUUUUCAGUGGACUUCAAAUCGAAUACCUGGAGGAAUCUAUUCAGCUACAAUCAAACACUUACGAAAUGUUGGGCGAUUCAGUUGCCUGGGGUGGAUGUACAAUAAUCUACCUGCUUGGGCAACAAUUGCAUUUUGAAUUGUUUGAUUUUUCCCAUCAAGUCCUCAAUGUUGCUGAGGUGGAGUCUGUAGCAAUAUCGCCAACACAGAAGAAUCCUAAUUUCCUCCAGGGUAUUGAAGGUUUGC
rnacentral:misc_RNA from 1 species